AGAGAGGAGGGGUUGAAGGGCGGGGGGGUGAAGAGAGAGGUGGGGUUGAAGGGCGAGGGGGUGAAGAGAGAGGUGGGGUUGAAGGGCGAGGGGGGUGAAGAGAGGAGGGGGGUUGAAGGGCGAGGGUGAAGAGAGAAGGGAUGUUGGUAUAUAGAGGAAUAUUAAAAUAAGCAAUAAAAUCACUGAUCAAUAAAAUCUAAUACAACUAAAUCAGACACGGAUAACAAUGGGAGAGUAAUUAUGUUGUUGUUGACUUUAUCCAUACUAGCUAGUGUCUAACUCAGGGUGUGACAUCAAUGUGUGUGUGUGUGUGUGUGUGUGUGUG
rnacentral:lncRNA from 1 species